GACGAACGCUGGCGGCGUGCUUAACACAUGCAAGUCGAACGGUGAAGCGCCUUCCUUUUUGGUGGGUGUGGAUGAGUGGCGAACGGGUGAGUAACACGUGAGUAACCUGCCCCCUUCUUCUGGAUAACCGCAUGAAAGUGUGGCUAAUACGGGAUAUUCUGGGUCUGUCGCAUGAUGGGUCUGGGAAAGAUAUUGUUUCGGUGGGGGAUGGGCUCGCGGCCUAUCAGCUUGUUGGUGGGGUGAUGGCCUACCAAGGCGGUGACGGGUAGCCGGCCUGGGAGGGUGGACGGUCUCACUGGGACUGCGGCACGGCCCAGACUCCUACGGGAGGCAGCAGCGGAGAAUAUUGCACAAUGGGCGCAAGUCUGAUGCAGCGACGCCGCGUGAGGGAUGGAGGCCUGCGGGUUGUGAACCUCUUUCGCUAGUGAAGCAGGCCUGCCUCGUUUGUGGGUGGGUUGACGGUAGCUGGAUAAGAAGCGCCGGCUAACUACGUG
rnacentral:rRNA from 1 species